rnacentral:rRNA from 1 species
GUGCCUAUACUCUGCCGUCAACGGCAAAGCGGGCGGCCCCUUACGGGGCGUCGCCGUUACGCCUUGACGAGUAGGAGGGUCGCGGCGGUGUGCGCGGAAGGGUCUGGGCGUGAGCCCGCCUGGAGCCGCCGCCGGUGCAGAUCUUGGUGGUAGUAGCAAAUACUCCAGCGAGGCCCUGGAGGACUGAUGUGGAGAAGGGUUUCUUGUGAACAGCUGUUGCACAAGAGUCAGUCGAUCCUAAGCCCUAGGAGAAAUCCGAAGCGAUUGUCUGCCGUUAAACUCUCUAGUGCCUGUCGCAAGCCCGGCGUCGUCCGGCGCUUGCGGCGGUGUAUUUUUUUGAGCUGGCAGCGUCUGGGCGAAAGGGAAUCCGGUUCCUAUUCCGGAACCCGGCAGCGGAACCGCUCCAAUUCGGGCCCUCAUCCGAGGACUCGUCGGGGCAACCCAAAAUGACCCGGAGAAGCCGUAGGGAGGUCCGGGGAGAGUUGUCUCUUCUCUAUAAGCGUUCGAGUUCCCUGGAAUCCUCUAGGAGGGAGAUAGGGUUUGGAACGCGAAGAGCACCGCACUUACGGCGGUGUCCGGAUCUUCCCCUCGGACCUUGAAAAUCCGGGCGAGGGCCACGAGGAACACCGCGCCGGCUCGUACCCAUAUCCGCAGCAGGUCUCCAAGGUGAAUAGCCUCUAGUCGAUAGAAUAAUGUAGGUAAGGGAAGUCGGCAAACCCGAUCUGUAACUUCGGGAUAAGGAUUGGCUCUGAGGAUCGUGGCGUGCCGGGCUUGGUCGGGAAGUGGAGCGGUGCCAACGUGCCGGGCCUGGGCGAGGUGAAGGGCGCUCGUCGUCCGGACCCUAGCUCGGUCCCGUGCCUUGGCCACCCACGGACCUUCCUUGCUGCGAGCCUCCCGGCUGUCUAGUUGCUGGGCUUGCCCAGAGGACGGGCCGGAAGGCUCUUCGGCCGCCAUAGAACGAUCAACUUAGAACUGGCACGGACCAGGGGAAUCCGACUGUCUAAUUAAAACAAAGCAUUGCGAUGGCCCCAAGGGGUGAUGACGCAAUGUGAUUUCUGCCCAGUGCUCUGAAUGUCAACGUGAAGAAAUU